CUAAAAGAUGACAGUAUAAUAGUUGUGCGCGUAUUAAAUUUGAUUAUGGCACAUUUGUACGAGACUUAAAUAAUUAUAAUUGGUUGUGGUAAUAAAACAAGAACUCAAAAGGAGUUAGCAAAUGAAAAAAGUGUCGUGGAACUGGACAUGUAAAAAAUAUUGAAAAACCAUAUAGAAUUUUUCAAUUCACCGAUGAAAAAAGUAAGAUGUAGUUCUAGAGAUUGAGGAAGAUCCGCAUAAGACAACUCGGGAGCUUGCCGCCGACAAUGUUAUUUUCAACUAAUGGAAGGUUACCGUCAGAAUUGCACAAUUAUUUCUGCAUAGUAAGAUCUACUGUCACCGCCAAUGAGACAAAGGUUUUUGAAGCUAUUUUGUCAAGAACAUCAACACUGUAGACGUACGUAAAGGAAUAAAAAAUCUCCCCAAUAGUGGUUAGGUUAGGUACUAUAGUUACAAAAAUCAUUUUCGACUGAUUUAUCUGCGAUGUACUAGUUACUGCUUCAUCAACAUAGAUGCUGAAUCUCACGGAAAAUCCAGUGACUAAGAAAUAUUUGAAACUUCCAAAUUUUUUAACCUUUUAUAUGAGGAUUUUGAAAGAGUUCCUGUACCAUGCUGUCUUUCAAAUUUAAGUGUCUUCCUAUGUGAUAUGAAGAUGGAACGUUUCUCCUUGUGUCUGGCCCAAAAUGGCAAAUAUUUCACCAUGAUUCAGUUGUUGAUAUUGAUUUAGCCGAAACAAUAUUAGAAGCAUCUGGUAUCCGGUAUCUGUAACAACUAACGAAAAUAUGGAAACAGUUCAGCUGGUGUUAGUUGACCCAAUCUGCAGUGCGGCUAUCGGGAGAGCUUCAAAUAUCCGAUCGUUAUUUACGACGAUUGCUGAAACGCAUGCACUAUCGAGAUUACCGUCCGCGUCUCCUCCACGCACUUCACGAGCAUGAUUUCAAUCGAAAUCUGAAAUUUUGGUAUUGGUACCUCGAAUGCAGUUAGAAUGAUCCGUAGUUCCAGCAUUCAAUUUUGUGGACGGAUAAAGCAACCUACUGGCUGAAAGGUAGGGUAAUUAGGCAUACCUGUGUAUACUGGAAGGACCAGAAUCCUUACGUCUUCAUUGAAAAAGAAUUAAACCUGACUGGGGUGUUUGUUUGCGGGCAGUUAUCCUUGCGGGACGUCUCGUAGCUCCGUACUUAUUUGAGGGUCAGGUGAGGUGCCAAAAGCAUCUAGAAAUGCUCGAAGACUUACGUGGGCUAAUGGACAACGAUCCAACAUUCACAAACAUACGUAAUUUCAUACAGGAUGGAGAUUUGCUGCUACGCGUUUUGUGUGCGGUAGUACAUUAAUGUACAUUUUGGAAAAUUGAUAGGCAGACAAGGACUCCUUGAGUGGCCUGCACGGUCAUGUGACCUGACACCCUGUGAUUUCUCUAUGUGAGACCUUCUCAAGGACCGCGUUUUCGCAACCUUCCCGACCUCUUAACUACAAUUGAAGAAGAAUUUGAAACCCCUCGCGGACAGCUUGACAUGAUUCGCCGGACCUGCCUCUCCGUUGAGGAACUUUCUCGUAAAUGGGCAUCAACACUUACAGUAACCAUUUUUUCAAUUUCUUUUGUAAUUUCUUCUAAUAAAUUCAUUGUGAUGCUA